rnacentral:rRNA from 1 species
AGAUUGAACGCUGGCGGCAUGCCUUACACAUGCAAGUCGAACGGUAGAGUAGCAAUACUCGAGAGUGGCGAACGGGUGAGUAAUAUAUCGGAACGUGCCCAGUCGGUGGGGGAUAACGUAGAGAAAUUUACGCUAAUACCGCAUACGAUCUAAGGAUGAAAGGCGGGGGAUUCGCAAGGACCUCGCGCGAUUGGAGCGGCUGAUAUCAGAUUAGGUUGUUGGUGAAGGUAAAGCUCAACCAAGCCGACGACCUGUAGCUGGUUUGAGAGAACGACCAGCCACACGUGGACUAGACGACACGGACCCAGACUCCGUAACGGGA